GGGAGAACGCACUCUGCGGGGCCGGCCCCCGUGAGAGGGGAACGCGCUCUGCGGGUCCGGCCCCGGUGAGGGGAGAACGCGCUCUGCGGGUCCGGGCCGCCCCUGAGGGCAGCGCGGGGCUCCCGUGGCGGCGGAGGGCCCGGCUGGCAGGUCGUGUGGUGAAAUCGGUCACUCAGGGUAACUCGGGCUCGCCCCAGAACGCCCACGGUGCUGGUUUUCCUUCACGGGGAGAAAGGCCGAGGCCGGGGGUAAUACUGCGAAUAUCUGUGGAGGUUUCCCGCAGGUAAACACUGUGAAAUCCCAUCGCCAGGUGUUGCUCCAGAGCCGGAAGACAUUUUAGCCGGAAAACGACAUUGAAGAACCGUUUAGUUUAAAAUUGUUCCAGCAUCAGACAGCCCUCCUCCAGUGGAAAUACGGGAAAUGCGGGAGCUUUCAUGGAGCCGGAAAUGGAUUUAGCUCUGAGCGGUGCUCACGGAACAUCUGCCUUAGGUGCCGCCAGGAAUUUCAGGCAGUUCUAGCUCACCCUUUAAAGCGUCUCUGGACAGCAGCUCUGCAAGGAGCCGAGGAGCAGAGCAGAACUGGGCACCCAAACACAGCGAGGCCUUUGUGUUGGCACAGCCCCACCUGAGCACUGCCCCCAGCACGGGUGACAGCUGAAAGGUCACCAGUGUGUGCUAGAAAGCAACAGGUACUAGGUUUCCAGGGGAAUAAAAGGGUAUGUGAAGGGUUUUACAGUGUGAGGAAGGGCAGGGUAUGAGCCCUCACGUCGCUCUGAAGUGUCCGAAGGCUGUGCUGUGCUGUCACAGCACACACUCCCUCCUCUGCUGCUGAACCCAGCUUGUGUCAGCUCUCCAUGGCAAAAUGGCUUUCAAGUAGGCAAGGUAUUUACACAGUGACAAUGCAGGAUCCUAACAGUUUGCUUUACUUCCAUGAAUAAAAACGUUUCAGGAAUCAAAAAGCAUGUUUUCACAUCAUUCCAAUGCAGACACAGCCAGGGUGCCUGUAAGCACACUGAUACCUGCAACAGCACCACACUGCAGAGUCCAGCAUCAUUCAUAGCCCCAGGCAGCACCAGGGGAGGAUCAGGUUGGAGAUCAGCAAGGAUUUCUUCCCUGAAAGGGUUGUCAAGCACUGGCAUGGUGGUGGAGUCACCAUCCGUGGAGGUGUGCAAGAAACAGGUGAAUGUAGCACUGAGUGCUCUGCUCUGCUUGACAAGGUGCUGAUGAGUCAAGGAUUGGACUUUGCAGUCUUGGAGAUGUUUUCCACCUUUAAUGUUUCUGUGCUUAGUCACAGGUUUCCCAUCUCUUGGGGUCCCAGAGAGUCCCAGGCUGUGCACCCCACACAUUAGGGAACGAAUGACAGCCAGACCCACUGGAAGAAUAUCUUCUAACAUGAAGAGUUUUCCCAGCGUUCAGAAUUUCUUAGUUGAGAAUCUUGUUUUGCUCAGUUCAGUAGCCAAGACAGCGAAGUGUUAAGUAUUCCUUACUCCCUUCCCUCCUUUGCUCCCUUCCCUUCCAUCUGAGAGUAGAAUUAUAGAAUGUUAAGUGUUGGAAGAGACCUUAAAGCUCCUCUGGUCCCACCUACCCUGCCGUGGGCAGGGACACCAUCCACUAGGUCAGGUUGCUCAGGGCCCCAUCCAGCCUGGCCUUGGACACUUCCAGGAGUGGGGCAGCCACAGCUGCUCUGGGCACCCUGUGCCAGCGUCUAUCUCACAUACCAGGUGGAUCCAGGUCACGUCUGUGGUCCCUUCCAGCCUGGAUUGCUGUGUGCUCCCCUGGGACUCUUCUGACAGCUCAGUGAACAGCCAGGUGAUGCUGAGCAGCAGACUUGGACACUAACAGAAGUUCCUCAGAGAUCCUGAGUGCGAAGCCUCCAGACUACAUCUAAAGUGACUUUUUGAUUGUACCAGCAUCACAUUUACCUCUUUCUUCCUCAAUCACACCAUCUCAUACUCCAGUGCUGAGAACCACAUUCAAUGCACUAAAAACCACUGCCUUUA